CGAAGAGACAAAGAGAGAUGUGCCCAAAGGAGGUCAUAGAAGCUUGAUCCAUCAAGACCAGAUUCGGCCAAACCAGAUGCCCACGGUUUUCUAUGAUCAAUACCAACCUAAUGAGGUCCCAAAGACCAUGGUGUAUCAACAUCUGUGUUGGGAAAUGUCAGCCUUAUAGAUACAUCCCUGUUUCUUUCAUACAGACGAUUAAGUCCUUCACUCCAGCUACUACAGUGGCUUGUGUUUAGGAAGUGCUUUGACUGGUGUAUUUGGGCGUCUCUUGUCCCCAUUGUUGGAGGGAUUCUUCUGACCUCUGUAACAGAGCUUAGCUUUAACUUGUUUGGGUUCUGUGCUGCUCUGUUUGGGUGUUUAGCUACUUCCACUAAGACCAUUCUUGUUGUGUACAAAGGGAAACCUGAUAACCAAAGAUCUAUGCAAUUCUGGUUCUUGUCAGUUUCUGGAUGAAGCUAAAGCUGUUGGGCAGUUAAGGAACUAUAGGAUGGGAAGUCUGCUUGGAUGUUGCUAUGAAGGUGAAGAGAGACUUCUUGUUCCUGAGUUUAUGCCUAACAAAACUCUGGCUAAGCAUCUUUUCCACUGGGAGUCGCAACCUAUGAAGUGGUAGCUUUACAUAUUGCUCUGGCUCGUAUUCCUGGUGGUGCUUGCCGUGGAACUGCUGAUAUGAGUGACUUAACUAGGUUGUGGACUAGAUUGUGGUUGUGAUUGUGUGUAUUUUGGCUGGUAAAGCUGCUAGAGCUUAAGUGAUUGUUGUUCCUUCUCUGCCUAAACCGACAUAUUUUUUUCU